GCCUCCGGGAAUAAAAGACAGCUACUGUAAGUCUAGCACAAAAGAAGAAGAAAAGCAUCUAGAAUUAACACCAAAAUGCUUCUCCUGGAAGGAAGUCUACUGAGUUGUGAAAUAAUCCUUCAAUGAGAAGCCACAGGGUGAAAAAGCCCGUGUGACAAGCUCUACAGAAGGUAACCUUGGAUGGGGAUACAUGGAACGGAGGCAUAGUGGAGUAAACUGAGCUCUGGAUAGGUGCAGAGAUAGAACAUGUUUGCAAGAGAAUAAGGGAUGCUGCUUGGGAAGGUGCAACUUGAAGCAAUGGAGUCUUUCUGAGGAAAUAAAAGAUACCGGCAUGAAGAAAGAAUACUGAGCAGAAACAAAGGGAAAGAGGAGGCCCUGAGAUCCAUCUAGAUCUCUGUUGAGCAGUUAUCCUUGACCUCAGGCGAUCAUUGCCAUGGAACCUUCAAUGUCCACUGCUGGAAAUCUGGUUUUUGUUUUUGUUUUUUUAAGUUAGAAAUUCAGAUCAUAUUAUCCAUUGUAAAAACAAAAUAAUGGCUUCUGUAAGUUCUUUUUAUUUGCAUAUUCCACUCAGGAAUAAUAUUAUGUAUGAAGUACUUACUAUUUCUACAACCUGUUAAGUCACUUAACAGAAUAAUACGCCCUCACACGCACAGGUUCAUUUAUGUUGCCACAGAUGAAAGACGUAGAAGGAUUUCUUCUUUAAGGGUUGAACAAUAUGCCAUGAUGCAUUUCCUUCUUACUGAUUUGGUGAUGUACACUUACUGUGGCAUUCUAUUUUAGCCACUGUUAUUGAUAAGGCAGUGAAGACAUACACUAAUACCAUGAUCGUAUUUGCUAUGUACUCAGCGGUAACAUUGUAGAACAUGUGAUAAUUCAAUUGUUAAUUUUUGAGGUUAUCAGAGGGUAGGGGUAAUAGGUAUUGCUCAAAAUAUACAAAUUCUCAGCUCUGAGGUAUGCCACAUCUGGAGACUUAUAACAUGAUAGUAUCCAUAUACUACAGUGGGAAUUUAUAUUUGGAAUUUGUGCUGUAUAGUUACUAUUUUUAAAU